UACGUAGGGUGCAAGCGUUAAUCGGAAUUACUGGGCGUAAAGCGUGCGCAGGCGGUAAUGUAAGACAGUUGUGAAAUCCCCGGGCUCAACCUGGGAACUGCAUCUGUGACUGCAUCGCUGGAGUGCGGCAGAGGGGGGAUGGAAUUCCGCGUGUAGCAGUGAAAUGCGUAGAUAUCUGGAGGAACACCGGUGGCGAAGGCGGCAUCCUGGACCAAUACUGACGCUGAGGAGCGAAAGCCAGGGGAGCAAACGGG
rnacentral:rRNA from 1 species